CCUGGCUCAGGAUGAACGCUAGCUACAGGCUUAACACAUGCAAGUCGAGGGGCAGCGGGAUUGAAGCUUACUUCAAUUGCCGGCGACCGGCGCACGGGUGAGUAACGCGUAUCCAACCUUCCGUACACUCAGGGAUAGCCUUUCGAAAGAAAGAUUAAUACCUGAUGGUAUGAUGAGAUCGCAUGGUAUCAUCAUUAAAGAUUUAUCGGUGUACGAUGGGGAUGCGUUCCAUUAGGUAGUAGGCGGGGUAACGGCCCACCUAGCCAACGAUGGAUAGGGGUUCUGAGAGGAAGGUCCCCCACAUUGGAACUGAGACACGGUCCAAACUCCUACGGGAGGCAGCAGUGAGGAAUAUUGGUCAAUGGACGAGAGUCUGAACCAGCCAAGUAGCGUGCAGGAUGACGGCCCUAUGGGUUGUAAACUGCUUUUAUAAGGGAAUAAAGUGAGUCUCGUGAGACUUUUUGCAUGUACCUUAUGAAUAAGGACCGGCUAAUUCCGUG
rnacentral:rRNA from 1 species